rfam:Botryobasidium botryosum FD-172 SS1 unplaced genomic scaffold BOTBOscaffold_52, whole genome shotgun sequence.
GGGUUUGUGGCGUAGUGGUUAUCGCGUCUGUUUUACAUGUUUGUGAACACAGAAGGUCGCAGGUUCGAUCCCUGCCAAGCUCA